UACGGGGGGAGCAAGCGUUGUUCGGAUUUACUGGGCGUAAAGGGCGCGUAGGCGGCCACCGCAAGUCAAUUGUGAAAUCUCCGGGCUUAACUCGGAAAGGUCAACUGAUACUGCGGGGCUAGAGUGCGGAAGGGGCAACUGGAAUUCUCGGUGUAGCGGUGAAAUGCGUAGAUAUCAGGAGGAACACCUGUGGCGAAAGCGGCGCACUGGACCAUAACUGACGCUGAGGCGCGAAAGCUAGGGGAGCAAACAGG
rnacentral:rRNA from 1 species